rnacentral:rRNA from 1 species
ACUAAAUAGAUACCCAGGUAGUCCACGCCCUGAACGAUGUCUACUAGUUGUUGGUGGAGUAAAAUACCAUGAGUAAAACGCAGCUAACGCGUGAAGUAGACCGCCUGGGGAGUACGGUCGCAAGAUUAAAACUCAAAGGAAUUGACGGGGGCCCGGCACAAGCGGUGGAUUAUUGUGGAUUAAUUACGUAUGCAACGACGAAAAACCCUUAAACCCUUGGCCGUUCGUACAAUGCCACCUAAACCGAAAGGCAGAGAUGCAUUAAGGUUGCCCGUAACGGGAAAAGGUAGGACGACAGGUGCUGCAUGGCUGUCGUCAGCUCGUGUCGUGAGAUGUUGGGUUAAGUUCCCGCAACGAGCGCAACCCUUCGCCAUU